rnacentral:lncRNA from 1 species
CAAUGUCCUUGACCUAAUUUUCAUGGUUCAGUGACCACUUGAAAAAAAGUUCAAUUUUUUGUAAUGUUGAUUUCUCUCUUAUUAUAAGUAAUAGGAUAACUAUAUUUGAUAUGUGCGUACCUUGCAAGGUCCUCAUGUCUGUCAGACAGUUUUCACUUGACCUCGACCUCAUUUCAUGGAUCAGUGAACAAGGUUAAGUUUUGGUGGUCAAGUCCAUAUCUCAGAUACUAUAAGCAAUAGGGC